CAAGCACUUUUUGUUACAUUUUAAUAUUUUAUGAUGUAUUUAAAUGAGUAGUUAUUGUUGCAAACGCCAUUAGAAAUUUGAAUUGAGAUUAGUUUUGAAAAAAGGGAAAGGGGAAUGUGAAAAAAAAUGGUGGUGGUGGUGGGGGGGUUAAUUUUUCUCAUUUCAGAUUUCAUAAAUAAAAAGAAAAUUUCUUCAAACAUUUUUUUGAGAGGAUUAAUAUUCAACAGCAUAGUGAUUGCUCAAAGACAAAAAAAUUAUUUUAAGUUCAUUAGACCACAUUCAUUCUGUGUCCAAAACCUAUGCUGUGUCAACUAUUUAAUCACAAUCCAAAUUUAGAGCUGAAUCCAGCUUGAAUGUUGUGUCCAUACUUGCCCCAACUGUUCAGGGUUCAACCUAUGCGGUCGUAUAAAGCUGCGCACUGCGGAGCAUCUGGUUGUAUUUUA
rnacentral:lncRNA from 1 species